GCUGACGAGUGGCGGACGGGUGAGUAAUGUCUGGGAAACUGCCUGAUGGAGGGGGAUAACUACUGGAAACGGUGGCUAAUACCGCAUAACGUCGCAAGACCAAAGAGGGGGACCUUCGGGCCUCUUGCCAUCAGAUGUGCCCAGAUGGGAUUAGCUAGUUGGUGAGGUAACGGCUCACCAAGGCGACGAUCCCUAGCUGGUCUGAGAGGAUGACCAGCCACACUGGAACUGAGACACGGUCCAGACUCCUACGGGAGGCAGCAGUGGGGAAUAUUGCACAAUGGGCGCAAGCCUGAUGCAGCCAUGCCGCGUGUAUGAAGAAGGCCUUCGGGUUGUAAAGUACUUUCAGCGGGGAGGAAGGUGUUGCGGUUAAUAACCGCAGCAAUUGACGUUACCCGCAGAAGAAGCACCGGCUAACUCCGUGCCAGCAGCCGCGGUAAUACGGAGGGUGCAAGCGUUAAUCGGAAUUACUGGGCGUAAAGCGCACGCAGGCGGUCUGUCAAGUCGGAUGUGAAAUCCCCGGGCUCAACCUGGGAACUGCAUUCGAAACUGGCAGGCUUGAGUCUUGUAGAGGGGGGUAGAAUUCCAGGUGUAGCGGUGAAAUGCGUAGAGAUCUGGAGGAAUACCGGUGGCGAAGGCGGCCCCCUGGACAAAGACUGACGCUCAGGUGCGAAAGCGUGGGGAGCAAACAGGAUUAGAUACCCUGGUAGUCCACGCCGUAAACGAUGUCUACUUGGAGGUUGUGCCCUUGAGGCGUGGCUUCCGGAGCUAACGCGUUAAGUAGACCGCCUGGGGAGUACGGCCGCAAGGUUAAAACUCAAAUGAAUUGACGGGGGCCCGCACAAGCGGUGGAGCAUGUGGUUUAAUUCGAUGCAACGCGAAGAACCUUACCUGGUCUUGACAUCCACAGAAGAAUCCAGAGAUGGAUUUGUGCCUUCGGGAACUGUGAGACAGGUGCUGCAUGGCUGUCGUCAGCUCGUGUUGUGAAAUGUUGGGUUAAGUCCCGCAACGAGCGCAACCCUUAUCCUUUGUUGCCAGCGGUUAGGCCGGGAACUCAAAGGAGACUGCCAGUGAUAAACUGGAGGAAGGUGGGGAUGACGUCAAGUCAUCAUGGCCCUUACGACCAGGGCUACACACGUGCUACAAUGGCGCAUACAAAGAGAAGCGAUCUCGCGAGAGCAAGCGGACCUCAUAAAGUGCGUCGUAGUCCGGAUUGGAGUCUGCAACUCGACUCCAUGAAGUCGGAAUCGCUAGUAAUCGUGGAUCAGAAUGCCACGGUGAAUACGUUCCCGGGCCUUGUACACACCGCCCGUCACACCAUGGGAGUGGGUUGCAAAAGAAGUAGGUAGCUUAACCUUCGGGAGGGCGCUUACCACUUUGUGAUUCAUGACUGGGGUGAAGUCGUAACAAGGUAACCGUAGGGGAACCUGCGGUUGGAUCACCUCCUUACCUUAAAGAA
rnacentral:rRNA from 1 species